rnacentral:rRNA from 1 species
AGAGUUUGAUCCUGGCUCAGGACGAACGUUGGCGGCGUGCUUAACACAUGCAAGUCGAGCGGUUGAGAGGUGGUUACACUUUUCAAUGGCGGACGGGUGAGUAACGCGUGGAUAAUCUGCCUGUAAGACAGGGAUAACGCCGGGAAACCGGUGCUAAUACCGGAUAAGCUCUUAGGUCCGCAUGAAAUGAAGAGAAAAGGUGGCCUCUUUACAAUGCUACCACUUACAGAUGAGUCCGCGUACCAUUAGCUAGUUGGUAGGGUAAAGGCCUACCAAAGCAACGAUGGGUAGCUGGCCUGAGAGGAUGAUCAGCCACACUGGAACUGGAACACGGACCAGACUCCUACGGGAGGCAGCAGUGAGGAAUAUUGCGCAAUGGGCGCAAGCCUGACGCAGCGACGCCGCGUGAGUGAUGAAGGCUCUUGGGAUGUAAAGCUCUGUCAGUCUAAUAGGAAGAAAUGACGGUACAAUUGAAGGAAGCCCCGGCUAACUACGUGCCAGCAGCCGCGGUAAUACGUAGGUGGCGAGCGUUGUUCGGAAUUACUGGGCGUAAAGCGCGCGUAGGUGGUUUACUAAGUCAGAUGUGAAAGCCCUCGGCUUAACCGGGGACGUGCAUUUGAAACUGGCAGACUUGAGUACUGGAGGGGGUAGUGGAAUUCCCGGUGUAGAGGUGAAAUUCGUAGAUAUCGGGAGGAAUACCAGUGGCGAAGGCGACUUUCUGGACGGAUACUGACACUGAGGCGCGAAAGCGUGGGGAUCAAACAGGAUUAGAUACCCUGGUAGUCCACGCUGUAAACGAUGGAAACUAGGUGUCGGGGGUAUCGACCCCCUCGGUGCCACAGCUAACGCAAUAAGCACUCCGCCUGGGGAGUACGGUCGCAAGACUGAAACUCAAAGGAAUUGACGGGGGCCCGCACAAGCGGUGGAGUAUGUGGUUUAAUUCGACGCAACGCGAAGAACCUUACCAAGGCUUGACAUCCCGUGACAGCUAUAGAAAUAUAGAUUUCUUAGUUUACUAAGACACAGAGACAGGUGGUGCAUGGUUGUCGUCAGCUCGUGUCGUGAGAUGUUGGGUUAAGUCCCGCAACGAGCGCAACCCCUACAGCUAGUUGCCAGCGCGUGAUGGCGGGAACUCUGGCAGAACUGCCGUUGACAAAACGGAGGAAGGUGGGGAUGACGUCAAAUCAUCAUGCCCCUUAUGUCUUGGGCUACACACGUACUACAAUGGCCUGAACAGAGGGAAGCAAAACUGCGAAGUUAAGCCAACCCCUUAAUUAUGUCUCAGUCCGGAUUGGAGUCUGCAACUCGACUCCAUGAAAAGUCGGAAUCGCUAGUCCUCGCCGGUCAGAAGGUCGCGGUGAAUACGUUCCCGGGCCUUGUACACAACGCCCGUCACACCACGAAAGUCGGCAACACCCGAAGCCGGUGACUCAACCCGUAAGGGAGAGAGCCGUCGAAGGUGGGGUUGGUAAUUGGGGUGAAGUCGUAACAAGGUAACCC